AGAUGAUUUUGCAGGGGCUUUAGGAGUGAAGGAGAGACACCGGAGCCCCUCAGGAUUAUCUUGGCAGGGAAUGAAUUUCGUUUGCGUGGGUAUGGUUCAUCAGGCGUUGUUCAGGAAUCAUAGAAAUUUGGAAUUGGAAUCGAUAAGAGCACCUUAGAGCAGGAACAAAUAAACCUCUCCUCCAGCGCCAGAAUGGAACUGAGGGGCCGUGAUCCCCCAGCUCUCGCAGAACAUUCCAGAAAGGCAUAGAUUUGCCGCAGUCCUUCACCCUUUCCCGUGUCCCCGUCUGUCGCAUGACUUGUAGCUCUUCCCACGGAGUCAGACCCUCCUUCCUGACCUUUACUUCAGACUUGGCCUUGAGCCUUGUUUUGGCCAGAGAUCCUAGUGGAACAGCAAACACAGGGGCUGGAAAACAUGCCUGGGUGGGGACUGCCCUUUGCGCACCUCUUUCUCCAGACGAGAAGCCGCCACCGCGACCCACUGGUCCAGGAGCAUCGGGGCUGGUGAGUUAAAUCGCUCCCAUCGCAAGUGACCUGAGCAGAUGCCUGGACACCCAGGCUCAGAGCAGCAUCACUCACAACUGCCAGAAGGCGGAAGCAGCCCAAGGGCCCAUCGCCGGGUGGGUGGAGUGGGUAAACAAAGUGUGGCCCGCCCACGUGGUGGGAUAUCAUUCGGCUGUGAAGAUGACACGACAUUCUGACACCUGCUACAACAUGCAUGGCCUUGAGGACAUGAUGCUCAGUGCAAUCAGCCCGGCACAGAAGGACAAACACUACGUGACACCACACCUAUAUGUGUGGACACCUAGGGACUUGCUUCUGACCACGACCAGCAGAGGUAACAGUGCGCCAUGCUCCCGAGGACGCUACCAGUGGCUGCGACCUGACCUGCGUCCUGCCUGCCCUCCUCUGGCUCUCCGGGGAAGCGAGCUGUCAUCUCGUCGUGAUGGGGGUGUGAGGGGCCCACAUGGCGAGGACCCGCCCCAUCGGCAACCACCCAGCGAGCAAGGACGUGCAUACUUCCCAGCCUCUCAGGGGCCCUGCCACGCCAGGUGACGGUCCCUCAGAGUCCGUGACAAUAGCUGAUGUUCUAAGCCGCUUCCCUCGGGGCUCAUCUGGUUAAUGAUCUGCCAACAGCCACCUGCUGUUCCCAACCACAGCUAGACUCCAGUGCUCUCCCCUGUGACCCCACCGGCCAGGCAUCCACCAACCCCCCAGGCUCUCCUACACU